UGGGGAAUAUUGGACAAUGGGCGAAAGCCUGAUCCAGCCAUGCCGCGUGUGUGAAGAAGGUCUUCGGAUUGUAAAGCACUUUAAGUUGGGAGGAAGGGCAGUAAAUUAAUACUUUGCUGUUUUGACGUUACCGACAGAAUAAGCACCGGCUAACUCUGUGCCAGCAGCCGCGGUAAUACAGAGGGUGCAAGCGUUAAUCGGAAUUACUGGGCGUAAAGCGCGCGUAGGUGGUUCGUUAAGUUGGAUGUGAAAUCCCCGGGCUCAACCUGGGAACUGCAUUCAAAACUGACGAGCUAGAGUAUGGUAGAGG
rnacentral:rRNA from 1 species